CAGCCGCCGCGGUAAUACGAAGGGGGCUAGCGUUGCUCGGAAUGACUGGGCGUAAAGGGCGCGUAGGCGGUUUAUACAGUCAGAUGUGAAAUUCCUGGGCUCAACCUGGGGACUGCAUUUGAUACGUAUGGACCUGAGUGGAGAAGAGGGUUGUGGAAUUUCCAGUGUAGAGGUGAAAUUCGUAGAUAUUGGAAAGAACACCGGUGGCGAAGGCGGCGACCUGGUCCUUGACUGACGCUGAGGCGCGAAAGCGUGGGGAGCAAACAGGAUUAGAUACCCCUGUAGUCCCUGUCUCUUAUAC
rnacentral:rRNA from 1 species